AGCAGCCGCGGUAAUUCCAGCUCCAAUAGCGUAUAUUAAAGUUGUUGCAGUUAAAAAGCUCGUAGUUGAAUUUCGGGAUCAAUUUAUCGGUCGUGCCAAUGGUAUGAACUGGUACAAUUGGUUUCUCCCUUCUGACGAAGCAUGAUGUCAUUAAUUUGGUGUCGUGGGGAAUCAGGACUGUUACUUUGAAAAAAUUAGAGUGUUUAAAGCAAGCAUUAGCUUGAAUACAUUAGCAUGGAAUAGUGAAAUAGGACGUUUGAUCCUAUUUCGUUGGUUUCUAGGAUCGACGUAAUGAUUAAUAGGGAUAGUUGGGGGCAUUAGUAUUCAAUUGUCAGAGGUGAAAUUCUUGGAUUUAUUGAAGACUAACUACUGCGAAAGCAUUUGCCAAGGAUGUUUUCAUUAAUCAAGAACGAAAGUUAGGGGAUCGAAGACGAUCAGAUACCGUCGUAGUCUUAACCAUAAACUAUGCCGACUAGGGAUCGGAUGAUGUUAAUUUUUUAAUGACUCA
rnacentral:rRNA from 1 species